AUUGAACGCUGGCGGCAGGCCUAACACAUGCAAGUCGAGCGGAGCGGCGGUCGGGUGAGUAAUGCCUAGGAAUCUGCCUGGUAGCGGGGGAUAACGUCCCGAAACGGGCGCUAAUACCGCAUACUAUCAGAUUAGCCUAGGUCGGAUGAGCUAGUUGGUGGGGUAAUGGCCUACCAGGGCGACGAUCCGUAACUGGUCUGAGAGGAUGAUCAGUCACACUGUAACUGAGACACGGUCACGAGUCCUACGGGAGGCAGAAGUGGGGAAUAUUGGAAAAUGGGCGAAAGCCUGAUCCAGCCAUGCCGCGUGUGUGAAGAAGGUCUUCGGAUUGUAAAGCACUUUAAGUUGGGAGGCGUUACCAACAGAAUAAGCACCGGCUAACUUCGUGCCAGCAGCCGCGGUAAUUC
rnacentral:rRNA from 1 species